CCUACGGGAGGCAGCAGUGGGGAAUAUUGCGCAAUGGACGAAAGUCUGACGCAGCGACGCCGCGUGAGGGAUGAAGGUUUUCGGAGCGGAAACCUCUGUCAGGAGGGAAGAAAGCGCAUGGCGCCAAUCAGCCAUGCGUUGACGGUACCUCCAAAGGAAGCGCCGGCUAACUCCGUGCCAGCAGCCGCGGUAAUACGGAGGGCGCGAGCGUUAAUCGGAAUUACUGGGCGUAAAGCGCGCGUAGGCUGUUGUGUAAGUUGGGGGUGAAAUCCCACGGCUCAACCGUGGAACCGCCCUUGAUACUGCGCGACUUGAGUCCGGGAGAGGGUGGCGGAAUUCCAGGUGUAGGGGUGAAAUCCGUAGAUAUCUGGAGGAACAUCAGUGGCGAAGGCGGCCCCCUGGACCGGUAUUGACGCUGAGGCGCGAAAGCGUGGGGAGCAAACAGGAUUAGAUACCCCUGUAGUC
rnacentral:rRNA from 1 species